rnacentral:tRNA from 1 species
GCUCUCGUGGCCCAGUUGGUUAGUGCGUCGUACUUAUAAGCAGUGCAGGAGUAUAUGCGAAGGUCGAUGGUUCGAUCCCCUCCGGGAGCA